rnacentral:misc_RNA from 1 species
UCGAGAGCGGACACGACAAUUGGUGGCC